rnacentral:lncRNA from 1 species
UGUCUGGGAAAGUGAUAUUUUGGGUUACUUUAUACAGCUGACUUGAUAGCCGACUUCGUUGUGGCUGAUUGUUUGGAAACAUGGGGGUAUCUAUCAUAUUAGCUGUAACCCUGCUUCAUGCCAGGACAGUGUGGGGUACAUCACGUUUUUCCCAGUCUGCUAAGUGGGGUGCAACUCAACUUCCAUCAGGAAUUCUUCAUCUCCUGUAAAUGAAUGAAAUCAACUGGCUCUUUGCUAACAGGGUUCUAAUUUUCUUUUUUUUUAUAGUCAAAAAAAUUAAUAAUAAUGGUACCCUGGACAAACAUCUCCUUCAGUCCUUGUACAAUAUCUCAAGAUUUUAAAAACUGUUUUAUGUCAGAGUUUUCACUUUUUUAGCCUCAGGUCAAAUAUGAUAGCCAGAGGAAUCUGCUUACUACAGAUGCAAAAUAGGACAAGUGACAUUAUUAAGAUAUAAAAGACAUGACAUCAAGCCCUGAUCAUACAUACUGUUUUUCCAUAGCAAGAUUUUUUGCCAUUUUCAUCUAUUUUACUGAAAUGCUUCCAAUUUGCUUUUUAAGGUUUUUGAUUAGCAGUCACAGAGAAUGUAAAUAUGCUGAGAAAUGGGAUUAUCUGAGAACUAACCAGUUGCGGAGGUUUAACAAUAUUAUCAUAUUCAUGUUGGAGUGAUUAAGUAAAAACAAGAAGACAGAACAUUUACUAGGCAAUAUGUUGUUUUUAUUUUGUAUAUUUACUAUAAAAAUGUUUGAAAUGCCUUUAUCAUCUGCUGAAAAGUAAUCAUAGAAUUGACAUUAUUGCAGAUGGUGUGAGAGAUUUUUAAGAUUAAUGAUAGUAGAUAUGAGUUGGAAUGUAAUUGUUAAGCUUAAGGAAAAAAAUCUAGCAUGUAGAUAGAGUGUGUUUGGUGUCUUUGUGCCUGUUUUAUAGAAGGCACGUUACCUUAGCCCUCACCUACCCACUCACACCCCUCCCACAGACUCAGGCUUUCCCCAGUUCUGUUACCAGAGAGGAACACUUCUGAGCACAGAAGCUGAUGACAGCCACUUAGCAAGUUGUCUUGGGCUCUGUUGCCAAAGCACAGGGAGAGACAACCUCAGUUAAGGUGCACAAUUUAGAUUGGAGGCAUGGGAGAAACUUCUGGUCCAUUUUUCCAGCUUGCCCGAUUUACAAAGAUGACACUGAGCCCAGUUGUCUGCCUGGGGAGACAGGCCAUUAAGAGCAGGCCUGAGACUGAAACCCAAGGAUGUCUGCCUCCCAGCAUCUCAUCGGGUCAGUGGACACACAUUUAGGGUAGAGGGUCUGGGCCUGUCAGAUGUCACCACUGCCUCUUGAGGACACAACCUGAUUAAAGGCAGUCAGGUUGAAUGGCAUCCCAAGUGCAUUCCCACUGAUGGGAAAUUUAACAAGAUGGAAAAAAUUGUCUUACCCAGAACUCCUCAGUGUAUGUGGUUAGGAGGACUUCUAGGGCAAGGCAUUUGGGGUAGGAUGCAGUAAAGUUUUGAAAGCAUAUAGUCCUUUUCCCUCAAAUGGCACAAAAGGUAAUAUUUUUGAUAAAGGAAGAAGGCAAGAAAAGUUUCUGACAGGUCAAGAAAAUUAAGUAAAUAUAUAGGCCUUUGACAAAGGCUGCAAAUAGAACCACAGAGUGUAUCAUUUCUUUCUUUGAAUGAUACUUUAUUGUCAUUUUUGACAUAUGGAUGGUUUUUCUGAAAUUGAGUUGUUUUGAGACAGUAUUCUGUGAACCAUAACCUGGGGAUAGACUCUGUUUUACCUGGUACCAGCGUGACCUUCCCAUGUACCCUCUUGGUCAGCAACUUUUUACAAGGAGUUAAUCCCACUUUCUGGAACUUGCUCAUUCUCAAAGUGAGUGGUUAUUGGUCCUCAAGACAGUCCGCAGAAAUUUCAGCCCCAUGGGAAAGAAAAAAUUCCAGGUCUCUACCUGAUGCUUGGAAAGCCAGCCAUGUUAACUUAGUCAACACCAAUGCUCAUCAAAUACACACAUUUAUCUAGUGUUCCCAACCUACAUUCCCAGCCUGGGAUUCUGUGGGCCAGAGGCCCCAGUGUAGAGAUUAUAGCCUAAUGUCCCAGCAGAGAAUCACUGAUUGCAGAUAGGAAAAAUCCAGACAUUUCUGAACUCCAAGACCACAGUGAUUUAUGUGGCCUGGUGAUAAGCUAUGAUUGAUAUAUUACUCAAAGUUUCUGCUUCCCCCAACUCUGGCAAGAACUCACCCGUCACAGAGGACCCUCGGCUCCAGAACCCAGGCACGCGGCUUUCCAGUUCUGGGCUGGCUGCUGCAGCUCCCCUGCAGACACUGGCCUCCUGAGGCUGCUGUUUAUCCCCCAACACAAAUGCUCCACUUUUAAAGAAAAAGACACUCCUGGUAACAUUAGCUUCCUACAGAGAAAAUGGUGCUACCAGGUUUCCCACUGUGAAAAUGAAGUUAUGGGCCAUCAGGAGGGUUAAGCGCCACUCAACUGAACAUUUCCUCCUAGGUGCCAAAACACACAAUGGUUGCGGAGUUGGGACCUUUGUUUUGAUACUUGGUGAUGGUAGCUUUGAAUAGGGCAAAGUAGAGGGAAGGGAGGACCUAGUAAUAGGACGGUGGCCUCCUGGAGAGAGGAAGGCUCUUUGUAGCCACACAUGCAGGUAAUGCAUCCACUUCCUAGAUGGUCCCAGGGUCCCUGGAAAGCAAACACCUUUCUUGGCCAGGGAGAGUUCCACAGCUCUCCAUCAGUGCAUGUCCCAGUGACCUGAGGGCUGGACGAGAACCAAGCAUGGGAUUGUUCCUAGGGCACUGAUCUGCCAGACACUCCAUCAAAGGUAAUACUUGCCAUCACCUGUGCUGACAGAUGGGCUUCCUUUCCCCAGGUCCUUACAGCCAUGGACCCAGCAGAGCUGGAUCUCCAGUGGGGACAGCAAGCUGGGCAGGAACUAUGUUACAGGCACUCCAGGGGAUGCUUCAAAACCACUUCCACCCUUUUUGGGUCUCCCCACAACCUCUCCAGCUUCCAUUUCAGCCUUAUCUCUUCCACAUGUUAUAACCAGAAUGAUCUUUUCAAAAUGCACUCCUAAAUCACGCAAAUGCCUCCCAUUCCUGGCCUUAUAACUGCUUAAAGGGUUGUCCUCACGCUAACUUCAGUGGGACCCAUGAAUGACAUCCACUCCCUUCCCUACCCUCCUCCCUUUUUAUAAGAUCCCUCUGGCCCCUGCCCCAGGGCCUUCGUUCAGCUCCACCCUAUCUAGAAGGCUCCCAGCUUCACCCCACCCCUGCCCAGAACUCUUUCCUCAAGGCUAGCCUAGGGGAGCACAACCUUGGGCUGCUUCCCCUGCAUGCUUAGAUCCAGCCAGAGCCCCCCUGCUGGGCCACAGACCUCCAUCCCCAUAGCGGCUUCUUUUCCAAAGUGCAUUCACCUCAUUGAGAACAGCCUCUCCCCUCCUGAACAUUCCAGACAUUCCACUCAGGCUGACUUAAUGCCACCUGGCCAGAAAAAAACAGUGUCCAUUCCCCCUUUUCUAAAACCUUGAUUUUGUGAUCGUUUGAACCUUUGAGUUUAGAAUCACUGUAUUAUAACUUCCUUGGGAUCCUACCUUUGCAGCUAGCCACAUUCCAAAUUAUAAGACUCUCUCUGGAAGCCCGUUGUAGACAACCAAAAGCCCUGAUGAUGUAAGGGAGCUCGCCAGACACACACUUUCAUACUCACCACCUUGUCUUAAGCUGCUUACCAUCUGCUGGCCCCAGUCAGCUCUUCUGGGAAAAGCUGCGUUUGGAAAAGGAGUUCCCCGAAUGUAUUUAAUAUCAAAUGGAGCAAUGGUUCUCAAAGUGUGCUCCCUGGAGCAGCAGCAGCACCAGCAUCUCCUGGGAACGCUUUAGACAUGCACAUCCUCCAGCCCCACCCACCCCUGCUGAGUUAGAAGCUCUGCGGUGAGGCCAGUGCACUCAAGUUUGGGAACUACCAAUAUAGAGUAAAAGAUGGGGGAGAAAACCCCUUGAGUAUCAAAUUUAGAAGGCCACAAUAGUGAAGCGUCUGUGCCUACUGUUUGCAGAAUGUGGAAGGUUUAGGGUGUUUACUACUGUAUGUUGAAUAAUGAUUCUCUUAAAACUUUUGUGAAUUGUAAAAGUAAAUCCCUAGGAAUGCUGGGCAGUGAUAACCUGACUCUCCCAUUUUCACCUGCAUACACAUACCCAGAACAUCCUUUUCUCCUUCACAACAGGGAAGUUGGAAGGUAAAAGUUAUUUUCUACCAAUAUAAAGUCUUAGAUUUUUAUUUACUAAAUUCUUAACACAGUACAUGGCACAGUUACCUUUUAAAGGCUUUCCAUUUCUUUAAUCUGAGCCCACAGCAACCCCAUUUUAAGGAGAGGAACUAGAGCCAGAGAGAUUUAGGAGCCAGCCUGUACCUCAGGAAUGAGAGACAUUACUUGCGGGAGCAGAGAUUUGAGCUCGGCAAUACUCCCAGACCCACACUUGCCCUUGCUUUUGAUUUUCUACCUCCCUAAUGAACAAGUGGGGAUCAUGAAAGUCAGCUGUGCCCAGCUUACUUAGAGCACCUGUUUCUGUCUGAGCAAUGAAAAGCCAUUUGAUUGGCGGUCAACUUGGAGAAACCUUGACCCUAAAAGAUAAUGCCAUAAAGACCAAACACACUGGGCGAUCAUAUCAUUUCAACUUGACAAAAUUUGUCGUACUCUUUUCUCGAGGUGGACUUCUUUUUUUGCUAGUGGCAGGGGUAGAUAUCCUUGUUUUGCUGGUAAUUAUCACCAUUUACCUUAGACUUCAUAGGUGGUUUUUUAUGUAUUCCUCAUGAAAGCCAUAGCCAAAGACCUUUUCAACCCCAAGCAUCUGUCUCUUGGUAGGUACUGGCUUCAGGCAAGUGGCUUCUCUCAUUAAGAAAAUACAGUAAUUUGAGUGUCAUUGCUACAUGUCUUCUUAAAACUCAGAAGAAACCUCACAGACCAAUGAGAGAGUUUGAAAUCGCUAUUUUAAGAGGCAUAGCAUAAAAGAAUUUUGAUAGAAAAGUAGAGCAAAAUAAGCAGUAAAACCUCAUCCCUAACAUUCUCCAGCUGCCUGACAUCCUGGUUCAGUUCCAGAGACUUGGACCACUGCUCCCUAGUUCCAGGGGGUGGCACAGGAGCCAAAAACGAGACCUGAGGCUGAAGCCCAACAGAAGAUGAAACUUGGGAGCAGCCUCAGCUUCGGGAAUCCUCACUUCCUGGCACAGCAGGUUUGGGUGCCACAGAGCCCAGGGCUAGACACCUGCCAGCAGUCCAUCAGUCACAGUCUCAGAUGAGUGGCAUCAAGGUGGAGCCCACUGAGGUGAAGGAAGGAGCUGUGAGGGACACCUGCAUCCUGCUGCAGAAAUGUCUGCCCCCCGCCUUGUCCCACCGCAGCUCUAUCUCACAGUUGGAGAAGCAGAAGCAAAGCAACCUGUCCUGGACCAUGCAGCCUGGUCCUCUGUUUCCAGAGCCAGAGGUCUUUGUGCUCUGAAACAAAGACAGUGACCCCAUUAACCCACUGGCACUUACUGUGUGCCAGGCACUCAGCCUGUGUUGUCUCAUUGCAGCACAGAGCAGCCCUGGGAAUGGAAGCAGUGUCAUCAUUCCCAUUUUUCAGGUGAGGCACAGGCUCAGAAAGGUCAAGAAACUUGCUCACGGUCUCACAGCUGGUGAGUAGGUUGUCAGACUCCAAAGAUGUGUGCUGCUAACCCUGCCCAAAGGGACUUCAUCCUCCUCCCUCCUUCCCAGGCAGUUCUCCCAACCACCCACCAACAGGCAACGUAGGUGUGAUUGCCUUCAAAGUUUUCUACUUGCCUUCAAGCUUGAAGCACUGGAGACUGAGGGAAGAGAGCACUGGAAGUGGAGGAAGAAAAAAGAGCUGUUCCCUCCAAGGUUGUUCCCUUGGGCCUGACUCGACUGGAAGAAGCAGGGUGUAUAUGUGUGUGUGUGUGUAAUUGACUUUGUGACCAUGAAACUGAGUUAAUACUCUUCUGUCUUUGCCUGUUUCUUCUUGUACAUCACCUAGAGGAAUACCCAUUAAUGUUUAGAGG